UCAUCAUCGUCACCUCAUCAUCAUCGUCAUCGUCACGAUCAUCAUCAUCAUCAUCAUUGUUAUCACCUUCAAGAUCAUCGUCGUUAUCAUCGUCAUCAUCAUCAUCACCUUCAUCAUCGUCAUCAUCAUCAUCGUCGUCAUCAUCUUCAUCAUAAUCAUCAUCGUCGUCAUCAUCAUCAUCGUCGUCAUUAUCAGCGUUAUCAUCGUCAUCGUCACCAUCAUCAUCAUCGUCAUCGUCAUUGUCAUCGUCAUCGUCAUCAUCACCAUCAUCAUCAUUAUCAUCAUCAUCGUUAUCAUUGUCAACAUCAUCAUCAUUGUCGUCAUCAUCAUCAUCAUCGUUAUCAUCGUCAUCAUCAGCGUAAUCAACAUCAUCAUCAUCGUCGUUAUCAUUGUCAUCAUCAUCAUCAUCAUCGUUGUUAUCACCAUCAUCUUCGUCGUUAUCAUCGUCAUCAUCAUCAUCACCAUCAUCAUCGUCAUCAUCAGCGUUAUCAUCAUCGUUAUCAUCAUCAUCUUCAUCAUCAUCAACAUCGUCAUCAUCAUCAACAUCGUCAUCAUCAUCAUCAUCAUCAUCAUCGUCGUCAUCAUCUUCAUCAUAAUCAUCAUCUUCGUCAUCAUCAUUGUUAUCAUUGUCAUUGUCAUUGUAACAUCAUCAUCAUCAUCGUUUUCAUCGUCAUCGUCAUCAUCGUUAUCACCAUCAUCAUCAUCGUCAUUAUCAUCAUCAUCAUCAUCGUUAUCAUUGUCAUCAUCAUCGUUGUCAUCAUCAUCAUCAUCAUCAUCGUAAUCAUCGUCGUCAUCAUCAUCAUCAUCAUCGUUUUCAUCGUCAUCGUCAUCAUCGUUAUCACCAUCAUCAUCAUCGUCGUUAACAUUGUCAUCAUCAUUGUCAUCGUCAUCAUCGUUAUCACCAUCAUCAUCAUCGUCGUCAUCAUCAUCAUCAUCGUUAUCAUCGUCAUCGUCACCAUCAUUGUCAUCAUCAUCAUCGUCAUUAUCAUUGUCAUCAUCAUCAUCAUCAUCAUCAUCAUCGUUAUCACCACCAUCAUCAUCAUCGUUGUCAUCAUCAUCAUCAUCGUUAUCAUCGUCAUCAUCAUUGCCAUCAUCGUCAUCAUCAUCAUCACGUCGUCAUUAUCGACCAGCUGA
rnacentral:lncRNA from 1 species